rnacentral:rRNA from 1 species
GAUCAUGGCUCACGACGAACGCUGGCGGCGUGCUUAACACAUGCAAGUCGAACGAAGAGCGAUGGAAGCUUGCUUCUAUCAAUCUUAGUGGCGAACGGGUGAGUAACGCGUAAUCAACCUGCCCUUCAGAGGGGGACAACAGUCGGAAACGACUGCUAAUACCGCAUACGAUCCAAUCUCGGCAUCGAGACUGGAUGAAAGGUGGCCUCUAUUUAUAAGCUAUCACUGAAGGG